AAUUAAGAGGGCAAUUAAUCCCUCAGUAU
rnacentral:guide_RNA from 1 species